rnacentral:rRNA from 1 species
AUUGAACGCUGGCGGCAUGCCUUACACAUGCAAGUCGAACGGUAACAGGUCUUCGGAUGCUGACGAGUGGCGAACGGGUGAGUAAUACAUCGGAACGUGCCCGAUCGUGGGGGAUAACGAAGCGAAAGCUUUGCUAGUACCGCAUAAGAUCUAAGGAUGAAAGCAGGGGACCGCAAGGCCUUGCGCGAACGGAGCGGCCGAUGGCAGAUUAGGUAGUUGGUGGGAUAAAAGCUUACCAAGCCGACGAUCUGUAGCUGGUCUGAGAGGACGACCAGCCACACUGGGACUGAGACACGGCCCAGAAUCAUACGGGAGGCAGCAGUGGGGAAUUUUGGACAAUGGGCGAAAGCCUGAUCCAGCCAUGCCGCGUGCAGGAUGAAGGCCUUCGGGUUGUAAACUGCUUUUGUACGGAACGAAAAGACUCUGGUUAAUACCUGGGGUCCAUGACGGUACCGUAAGAAUAAGCACCGGCUAACUACGUGCCAGCCGCCGCAGUAACAC